rnacentral:rRNA from 1 species
UACAGAGGUCUCAAGCGUUGUUCGGAUUCAUUGGGCGUAAAGAGUGUGUAGGCGGUGUUCUAAGUUUGUCGUGAAAUCUCCCGGCUUAACUGGGAGGGUGCGGCGAAAACUGGAAUGCUAGAGGAUGGGAGAGGUAAGCGGAAUUCCUGGUGUAGCGGUGAAAUGCGUAGAUAUCAGGAGGAACACCUGUGGUGUAGACAGCUUACUGGACCAUUUCUGACGCUGAGACACGAAAGCGUGGGUAGCAAACAGG